rnacentral:rRNA from 1 species
CGCUGGCGGCGUGCUUAACACAUGCAAGUCGAACGGGAGGAAAAGAGAAGCUUGCUUCUUUUUGAAUCUAGUGGCAAACGGGUGAGUAACACGUAAACAACCUGCCUUCAGGAUGGGGACAACAGACGGAAACGACUGCUAAUACCGAAUGUGUUCCGGAGACCGCAUGAUUUCCGGAAGAAAGGAUGGCCUCUAUUUAUAAGCUAUCGCCUGAAGAGGGGUUUGCGUCUGAUUAGGCAGUUGGUGAGGUAACGGCCCACCAAACCUACGAUCAGUAGCCGGUCUGAGAGGAUGAACGGCCACACUGGAACUGAGACACGGUCCAGACUCCUACGGGAGGCAGCAGUGGGGAAUCUUCCGCAAUGGACGAAAGUCUGACGGAGCAACGCCGCGUGAGUGAUGACGGCCUUCGGGUUGUAGAGCUCUGUGAUCGGGGACGAAUGGCUGGUAUGCUAAUACCAUAUCAGAGUGACGGUACCCGAAUAGCAAGCCACGGCUAACUACGUG